rnacentral:lncRNA from 1 species
UUGGCUGCAAAAAGAAGCUUCUUUGAGGAAUGUGAGAGCUUCACCUAUCUACAGUAUAAGGACUAGUAUUUAGAGGGCAGUUGGAAGCUAUAUUUAGUAGUUAUAUUUAGAUGCUCCUCUAGAAUCUAUGGCCUCUUCAGCCACGGAUUCUGUGCUAGGAUUCCAGUAUGAGGCAUGGAUUUCAUCUAAUUGACCAGGUUUUAGGUUCUGUUAGACAGCUUCUGAUUGUCCCCCAGAUACAGGUGCCAUGAUUGCAACACUGGGGGCUGUCUUAUUGCUCCAUUUUAAUUUGGCUCUCAGGAUAUACAGCUGGCUAUGUCUGUGGUAACUUUUCUUCCUUGGAGGUUUACAUAAAUCUUCUGACAGCACGAGAGCUAGUCCUUAUAGAGGAGGCUACCAGGUCAAUGCCAGCUUCAUUUCUCCAUCUUGUGUCUCACAUGUGUGGUGUCUUUAGCAACAGGAUCUUACCUUGAUCUUCAUCUAGGGGUGAUUUUUCAUCAGGCAGUAAUCAAGAGCAAUGGCAAUAUAUUGGUUUAGGAUUGUUUUGAUACUCCUGAUCAAAGUCUCAAACAGAAGUACCACUGCCUAGUAUUAUGUUUUUUUGUUUUUUGUUUUUUUAAUUUGUCUAUGGUUCCUGGUGGGAUGGGAGCACAGUUUCCCAUCAUAUGGGUUGACAUCAUUAAAACUCUGUGUGUGUGUAUGUUUGUGCAUUUGCACGCACCUGCUUGCAUGUUUACAAGUGCUAGUGUGUGUGUUUAAAUAAGCUCAUAAAAUUACAAACUUCCUCUAGCUCUUUCUAAACAUUCUUUUUCCUCUGCAUUAUCCCUCCUCUUCAAUUAGAUUUUCUUCAUUUUCUGCCUUCCCUUCAGAACACUGCCCUGCCCAUCUCCUUUGUGGCGCUCCUCCCUGGCCUCUCCAGACCCAUUCUAACUUCCUGGCUUUUCUAGCCACUCCAGUUGAUACCUUAAACCUAAAGAUUAGAAUCUAGGGUUGUAACUAUAUUAUAACAAUCCAUUUUUCCUUUCCCAGACCCAGUUCCCAGGAUGACAACUCUGAGACUAAUUUUUUAUUAUUAAAUGCCAAGGCCAUAUGUUUUGGCUCAAUCCCUGGCUAGCUCAUAACUUAUUUAACCCAUUUAAAUUAUUCUAUGUCUACUAUGCGGUCCGUUAUGUCUCUUUCAGUCACAGCCCGCUUCUUCCUUCUCAUCUUCUCUGCCUCUCCUUGAGUUCAUCUACCUGCUGGUUUAUGUCGGUUUCCUCUGUUCAUCUCUAGGUCGCUCCCACAUCUCUCUUUUAUCUCUUACUAUUCCCAGAAUCCUCUCUCUUCCUGUCAGUGUUCCACCUUCUAUUUCCUGCCUCGGUUCAUUGGCCAUCAGCUUUUUUUUUUUUUUUUUUGACAGG